rnacentral:sRNA from 1 species
AAAUAGGGAUUUUAGAAAAUAGGGCUAUAAAAAAUAGGCUUGAAAAUUCCGAAAGAACUUUAUGGCUCAGCUAUGUUUCUUCUAUGUAUGCGUCUAUAUAUAUAUAUAUAUAUAUAUGCAUACAUCUCUUAUAACGGGCCUGCGUAAUAGGCUUCAGCCCAAUUUGUUUUCUCCUAAUUUAACGAGGAUUUUGUGUUAUUGAUCUCAGUGCAAAACGUACAACACUAGAAUUUAACCCGCGGUACACCGCGGGGCUAUUAUGUUUUAAAAAAUGUA